ACGAACGCUGGCGGCAGGCUUAACACAUGCAAGUCGAGCGCCCCGCAAGGGGAGCGGCAGACGGGUGAGUAACGCGUGGGAAUCUACCGAGCCCUACGGAAUAACGCAUGGAAACGUGUGCUAAUACCGUAUACGCCCUACGGGGGAAAGAUUUAUCGGGGUUUGAUGAGCCCGCGUUGGAUUAGCUAGUUGGUGGGGUAAAGGCCUACCAAGGCGACGAUCCAUAGCUGGUCUGAGAGGAUGAUCAGCCACAUUGGGACUGAGACACGGCCCAGACUCCUACGGGAGGCAGCAGUGGGGAAUAUUGGACAAUGGGCGAAAGCCUGAUCCAGCAAUGCCGCGUGAGUGAUGAAGGCCUUAGGGUUGUAAAGCUCUUUUACCCGGGAUGAUAAUGACAGUACCGGGAGAAUAAGCUCCGGCUAACUCCGU
rnacentral:rRNA from 1 species